ensembl:lncRNA
GCAGACUUUAAUCUAAGUUGUGUUUUUUUUAUACUGUGUUAUUGCUGCAUUCACUUCAUUACCAAUCGCCGGGGUGGCAAUCAGCUCCGUGAAAAUGACCCAAAUUUGAUCUGAAAUAUCUGUAGUAUAAUUCACCAAACAUAGAUUGAAAGAUUCUGCUCUAAUUGGGUUUUGUAGCCUUUGGGUUUAAAGUUGGUGCUGCAAAACAAUCACAACUGCCGUACUGGGAAACAAGGAAUCGUCAAGGCCAGUGAUGUCCCUACAUGACUCACUGGAGAUCUCCGUCACACAUGACUAUCCAUCACAGUGAUAAUAACGGUGCCGAACCAACUGCACCUGCAGCUAACAGCACCGCAACAACAAAGACUGUGUGGAGACAAACGGGCCUAAAUAUUCAGUGUGUGGAGAUUUCGUGUCACGGAUGAACACUUUUUGCAGCUAACGUUUGUGUUUCCACACUUGGCGCUGAACGGAUUGACGGGGUUUAUGUGGAAGUAUUGCACCCUAGAGGCAGCCUGGUUUGGUGUUGGGCUUUUAAUGUGUUGCUGAGGGAUAAAGUUAACAUUUCAUACUGUGUCUGUUGUUUCCCUCGACCCACAGCUAUUUCGUUCAAGCAAGUCAGGAAAUAAUUGUUGCUUUUGUUUGUACGCGCACCAAAACUUUAGUAUUCAAUUGUAGUUAGUUAACAAAAACGAUGCUUCAAAAAAGUAAUGAUUUACUUUGCAGUUUUACAACUGCAUUAUGUUUGACUGUCUUUUGUGUGUUCGGUUCAUAUUCUCUGUUUGUACGUGGAAAAUAUUUUUUAAAACCAGACAAAUUCCGUGUAUUCGCACAUUUUGUUGUGUGCACUAAGAGUCGUCCAUAUGGUCACUAUGGGCUCUUUACAUCACGCUGCUGAGUUUGCUCGUUUCUUUGUCAAGUCUGAGCUGCUGCUGCUGCUAUCAUCAGCAGAAACAGACACGCACGCACGCACGCACACCGUGGUGUUUUUAUGGCUUUUGAGGAUAUUACCUUGAUUCUCAUUCAGGAGACUUACUCUAACAAUAACUGUUACCAGCCUAAUCCUAAAAGUUACCUAAAACAUCACCGUAAACAACCUCGACCCUGAUGUGUAAUGAUUCAUAUUAUGGGGACGUGAAUAGAUGCUGCACUCAAACACAUAAUAUCCCCCCAAAAAGAUAUAUAUUAUCAGGAAUGUUCUCAUAAAAGCAUUAUUGCUGUUUUAUUUUAGCUCUCUCACUCUGUUUUGUAGACUCAAUCGGAGAAUUCUAUCACACCCACAUGCACGCAGACUGAGCGUCUGGGUAAUGUGCUGACCCCAGUAAGCCACUCCUAAAUUUGUAUUGUCCUGCUAGAGGAGAGAGGAGGGAGGACGCACCAGCUGCUGUCUCUGUGUUUUGUGCGCUCUCUGAUUUUAAUGACUUUAAUGACA